rnacentral:lncRNA from 1 species
AUUAGCCAACAUGAGGGUUCAGCUAACAUUCAUUGAAAGGAUUAUAGUCGUCUAGAAUGGUGAUCCACAAUUAACGAAAAUAGGAGAUUCAAUGGAAGCUGGUGUUCAAUCUGAAUUCAAGAUACAUGAUGAUGGUUCAUUGAGGUUCAAAAAAAAAUUUGUAUACCCAAUGAUUCGGUACUCAAACAAGAAAUACUUCAGAAAGCACAUC